CCUACGUGGGGCAGCAGUGGGGAAUAUUGCGCAAUGGGCGAAAGCCUGACGCAGCGACGCCGCGUGAGGGAUGAAGGUCUUCGGAUCGUAAACCUCUGUCAGCAGGGAAGAACGGUCACUGUGCUAAUCAGCAGUGAAUUGACGGUACCUGCAAAGGAAGCACCGGCUAACUCCGUGCCAGCAGCCGCGGUAAUACGGAGGGUGCGAGCGUUAAUCGGAAUUACUGGGCGUAAAGCGCUCGUAGGCGGUAUGUCAAGUCAAGGGUGAAAUCCCCGCGCUCAACGUGGGAACUGCCUUUGAAACGGGCAAACUGGAGUGUGUGGGAGGAUAGUGGAAUUCCAGGUGUAGGAGUGAAAUCCGUAGAUAUCUGGAGGAACAUCAGUGGCGAAGGCGACUAUCUGGCACAUAACUGACGCUGAGGAGCGAAAGCGUGGGUAGCAAACAGGAUUAGAUACCCCAGUAGUC
rnacentral:rRNA from 1 species